AUCUUCGAUCACAAUGCUACGGUAUAGUAAGAAUUCAAAUCGUUACGAGGAAUUUUUCAUCGCAAACGUCUAUACAUGGACCAAUAAAUCAAUUUAACCUGUAUCCGAAGUAUUGGACUUCGAAACGGCUUUGGCGAAUCGCCAGUACGUGCCUAAAACAACGACAGUUCGAAUUGCAAUUGUCUGAAUUAAUACAGCAGUUUGACGGAUCGCAGUGCAGUCCGGAGUCAGGACGCUAAGGCGGGAAUAGAUGACGUUAUUACUUUAAGUGUGGAGCAAACACGCAUUAGCGGGCGUGCGAGCGGCGUAGACGACGGCCCCUGAUUUAUCGGACCACCUCCUGCCCUUAACGACACGCGGUGAUGUACGACUCUGGGACUGCAGACCAAGUCAUAAACUUCAGUGGCAAUAGCUAUUUUGAAGUGAAACUUCUUUGGGGCGGUUGUGGUUUGAAACUUGAUGAAACUUUUUUGGGACCGUUGUGAUUUGAAACUCGAUGAAACUUCUUUGGGACAGUUGUGAUUUGAAACUCGAUGAAACUUCUUUGGGGCCGUUGUGAUUUGAAACUCGAUGAAACUUCUUUGGGACCGUUGUGAUUUGACACUCGAUGAAACUAAAAAAGAAACAAACAGUGUCAUUUGUUGAAAUUGAA